rnacentral:rRNA from 1 species
CACGUAUGGGGCGAGCGUUGUUCGGAAUUAUUGGGCGUAAAGGGUAUGCAGGCGGCCAAGUAAGUCUGGUGUAUAAUCCCGCAGCUUAACUGCGGAUCUGCGCUGGAAACUGUUUGGCUGGAGUACAGGAAGGGGAGUUGGAAUUCCAGGUGUAGGGGUGAAAUCUGUAGAUAUCUGGAAGAACAUCAGUGGCGAAGGCGAACUCCUGGCCAUGUACUGACGCUGAGAUACGAAAGCGUGGGGAGCAAACAGG